GACAGAGGGUGCAAACGUUGUUCGGAAUUACUGGGCGUAAAGCGUGUGUAGGUGGCUGCGAAAGUCGGAUGUGAAAGCCCUGGGCUCAACUCAGGAAGUGCACCCGAUACUGCGUAGCUCGAGUACCGGAGAGGUUGGUAGAAUUCUCGGUGUAGAGGUGAAAUUCGUAGAUAUCGAGAGGAAUACCUGUGGCGAAGGCGGCCAACUGGACGAGUACUGACACUGAGACACGAAAGCGUGGGGAGCGAACAGG
rnacentral:rRNA from 1 species